AAAGCCCAGUAGCACUGGCCUCCGGCCCCGUGUCUGAGGGAACACAGAGACCCUGCAAAGGGAGUUUCAGUGCAAACUCACGGUUGGUUAGCCCAGCCCACACCAAAAGCAAACCCAUGAGUCACCUCCUGAACACAAAUGCAUUCAUCGCUCAGGGUUAGUGAACGUGGGGCUGUCAGUUUUAUAAAUCAUGCUGGAAAGU